UAUCGUUGACGAAGCUAAACGCGGGGUCGCCAUUACUGGGUUGAGAGGAAAGAGUUGUGGGUUGUGGUUGAUUGUUUAGUGUGUGUGCGUGUGUGGUAUUUGUGUUUUCAUUUAACAAUGGUCGACAAGAUAGAAAUGAGUUUGGAUGAUAUCAUUAAGUCCUCCAAAAUGAUUAGAGGUAGCGGAAGACGAGGUCGAGGAGGACAAAGAGGUUCCAGUAUACCAAGACGAGGUAGAGGUGGGCCGACGAGGGGAAUUGGAGCCGGAAGAAGUCGCCGCGGAAUGGUGCGAUCAGCGCCUUAUUCAAGGGGAGACAUUAACAGCAAAUGGCAGCAUGAUAUGUUUGAUGGAUCCGGAAGCAAGAAGGCGAGAAUGAGUUUCGGGGGAUCGCUACCCACUGGUGGUCCUGCGAAGUUGUUAGUUGCCAAUCUCGAUUUUGGUGUAUCGGAUUCGGAUAUACAGGAGCUUUUUUCAGAAUUUGGGCCUCUGAAGUCCGCUGCGGUACAUUAUGACCGUUCUGGUAGGUCACUGGGUACAGCGGAUGUUAUAUUUGAAAGAAAAGCUGAUGCAAUAAAAGCAAUGAAACAGUACAAUGGUGUUCCCUUGGAUGGCAGAGCAAUGCAGAUUCAAAUGGCAACAUCAGAAAUACCCUCUGUAUUGCGUGGUGUUCGUGUGGGAGGUGGUGGAUACGUGCAAAGCCAAAGGUCCCGAUUGAGUGGCGGCAGUGGUGGUGGAAGUGGAGGAAGGGGAAGAGGUCGAGGUGGCAAGGGGUACAUUCGGCCUGUUGAAGUCUCCUUACAUAGAACAUCCACCAGUUGAAUCCACAUAACAUCUGGCUUCUCCGGGUAUGCGAAAGAAGGUUGUGGAUCUCAUAGAUGAAGAAAUGUCACCUUCAGUUCUUCUUCAUCUUUCCCAAAAAUGCCUACGCCGUGGUGGAAGAGGUGGUCCAAGAAACCAGUCAAGAUCACUUCCUACAGCUGAGGAGCUGGAUGCUGAAUUAGAUGCCUAUGUAAACAAAAUUAAGUAACAGAUGGAAACCUUGUGCCAUUGUGGAAAAGAUAUAGAGUGAAUGUGUGAAUCUGACAUACCUGCCUUUCGCAGUUUAGCGUUUGACUGACUGUUCAAUUUUGCGUGCAGUUAAUGUACACAUUGGAUUGAAGACUUUACAAUAGAGUUGUAACAAGAGUUUCUGCGUGAUGCAGGAGGAUUUGCUGGUAGAUAAUUUUACAUGGAUAAUGUCUGGGUUUUGAUCUCCUUGAAUACCUGUUGUAAUAUUUCAGGACAUACUGUGAAGCGAAUUAUACUGAAUUUCAACACUGUUAAAUAAAAUAUUUUCUCAUUGUUAAAAUUACUGCCAUGUAUUAAGCAAGUGGAAUAUUCUAACUCUGGUUUAGUUUUACAGCUGAACUGCCUGCAUAGCUAUUUUGUACAUCUGAACUUUCCAACAUACAUUGCUUUCAUAAAUCAUAUACCCUGCAAUACAAAGCACCAAAUAUUUUAUUACAUGGAUUUUUUAUUUAUUUAUAGCACUUACAUUGCUUUAGCUCCUGAUAUUUGUCACCACACUAUAUAAAAAAAAUAUUGAAAAUUGAUACAUUUUUACAACUCCUAAAUACUGGUGACAAAACAACAAUGAAAGUGUUUCAGUUUGUAGUGAAUUAAUAUUACAUGGUGUGUGUUCUUUUAUAUGAUGUGCUAACAUGAGUGAAUGGUGAUUUUUGUGGUCCUGUAUAAAAUUAUGGAGUAAGUUGACACAGUGGAUCAUAAUUUCUGAAAUACAGACUUGCUCUUUGCUAGAUUCUUUUGUAGAUUUUAAGGUGAUCAUACAGCCUCACCUUCAGUCCUUACAGUGUGUGGCGUGCUUUUGCCAUCAGGCAGCCACAGUGGAAAACUGAAACAACAUAUUACCAAUAUGUGGCUAUGCAUGAUAAAUAGCUUUGAGUGCAACUGUUGACAAGGUUUUCAGUACCUUGUUUUGUAAAAUACAGUCCUCAAAUUGUAAUGUUUUAUACUAAACGUAUAUAAAUAUAGAACAAGGGAUUUCAUCAGUUUGAUAUUAAAUAAAUCUGUUGUGUGAAACUGUU